AUGGGACGGCACGCGGGCACCGGCGGCGGCGGGGGCGUCCAGCAGAAGCUGCGCAAGGGGCUGUGGUCUCCCGAGGAGGACGAGAAGCUCUACAACCACAUCAUCCGCUACGGCGUCGGGUGCUGGAGCUCCGUGCCCAAGCUCGCCGGUCUGCAGAGGUGCGGCAAGAGCUGCCGGCUGCGGUGGAUCAACUACCUGCGCCCCGACCUGAAGCGGGGAAGCUUCUCGCAGCAGGAGGAGGACGCCAUCGUCGGCCUGCAUGAGAUCCUGGGGAACAGGUGGUCGCAGAUAGCGUCUCACUUGCCCGGCCGGACGGACAACGAGAUCAAGAACUUUUGGAACAGCUGCCUCAAGAAGAAGCUGCGGCAGCGCGGCAUCGACCCCAGCACCCACAAGCCCAUCUCCGGCGUGGUGGGGGUGGAACCGGACCAGGCAUCGAAAGAUGAGAGGCCGCAGGCGGCCGACGGUCUAGCCCUGAAGCAGCAGCAGGUGUUCGACCCUUUCCCGGUGGCCGACACCUUCGGCGCCGGCUUCGAUGGGGCGGGCAUGCCGCUGUACGACCACCUCGGCGGCAAGGACGCGGCCGGGUUCGUGGACUACAGCAGCGUGCUGGACGUGUCGGAGAACCUGGGCUACGGCGAGAGCUCCAGCAACAGCAGCAACUGGAACAGCGCGCCGGAGGCGAGCAACGCGCUGGAGGGCGAGGCGCUGCAUUGGGCCUCGGAGAGCAAGGUGGAGCCUUUCGCCGGCUACGCCGGCGACGAGGACGACAAGUUCGCGCUGCCCUGCCACGGCCAGCAAGAGCACAGCAUGGCGCAUUUUGACUUCAACCUCGAGUACUUCUGA
rnacentral:rRNA from 1 species